GCCACUCAUCGCAGCAUGAGUUAUCUUCCAAACUGGUCACUCGACAGUUGGACACCGUAAAGUACAGACGCAGGAUAUGCAAGAUGAAUGGCGUGAAACGUCAGCUGUUUUCUGUUGUAGAUCUAGAUGGACAAGCAGUCAAGAUUUUUUCAGAUGCACCACAUUUUCCGACUUACUCCAUAAACGGCACCUGCAAGUAACCCAGUCUUUUGUUUGGAUUCUGGAACACGACGCUUUUAUAUGCACAUUAUUAUCUUAAAACUGAAUAAACGCAUUUCUCUGUGGUUGUUUAUUUUGAUAUGAAGUAUUAAAAUGGUAAUUAUAAUAAGAGAAAUGAUUGAUCUGCUAGCCAUGUAACAACUUGUCGAGCGCUCUCAAAAUUUUCUGUAAAGUUUAAUUAAUAUAUCAAUAUUGCUCUUGCUAUUUAUGUUGGUAUUACCUUAUUUGUUCAACUUGAAAUAGUUUUUGGCUUUUUUUAUUGUGCCCCAAAUUUUUUUGUGUCCAAGUAAUUCCUAUUUGGGCAAUAAUUUUUUUAAACACAGAAACAAAUUGUACUCAAAAUAUUUUAGAAAUACCUGCAGCAAUAAUUUGUACUUACAAUCGUACUUUGAUAAAUUUGUUUCAAUUUCUACAAUAGUUUUAUACUAUAAUGAAAUUAAGCACCAAAUACAGAUAGUUUAAAGAUUGCAACUCUCACUGAAAUUCGCUAAAUAGUUUGGGAUAGUAUUGUAUUGAUCACAAAUGUUCAAAUUACUCUUCUCAUGAACGUGUUUCGUUUAAUAAAAGAUUUCAUGUAAAGAUCAUUUUUAAUUUUCCUACUUCCAUCACCAGGUCACAAAAAUAUACUGAAUAAUCCAAGUUAUUUGUUUGAUUUCAAAUCUUGUCAUAGUAGAGCUUCAUGUACUUUUCAAUUAUGUUAAUAAAAUGUUGACAACUCCUGCCUUGCAAACCUUGCUGGCAUACUUGUUUAUUUUGAAAGAAAUUCUUGGAAAAUGGAAUGAAAUCGUAU